rnacentral:rRNA from 1 species
CCUACGGGUGGCAGCAGUGAGGAAUAUUGGUCAAUGGGCGGGAGCCUGAACCAGCCAAGUCGCGUGAGGGAAGACGGUCCUAUGGAUUGUAAACCUCUUUAGGCGGGGGGCAAUGCCGGGCACGCGUGCCCGGAGGGAGAGUACCCGUAGAAUAAGCAUGGGCGAACUCCGUGCCAGCAGCCGCGGUAAUACGGAGGAUGGGAGCGUUAUCCGGAUUUAUUGGGUUUAAAGGGUGCGUAGAUGGUUUUUUAAGGCAGCGGUAAAAUGUCCGGGCUCAACCCGGGCCGGCCGUUGAAACUGGUGAUCUUGAGUGGGCGAGAGGUAUGCGGAAUGCGUGGUGUAGCGGUGAAAUGCAUAGAUAUCACGCAGAACUCCGAUUGCGAAGGCAGCAUACCGGCGCCCGACUGACGCUGAGGCACGAAAGCGUGGGGAUCGAACAGGAUUAGAUACCCGGGUAGUC